UUCUGCCCCGCCGCGCCCAGGCCGCAAACAAGUAUUUGAAAGCCUGGCGUGAACAAAAGGGAAAAAAAAAAAAAAAAGACCCGAAAACUGAAGCCCGCAAACGGCGGUGUUUAAGUAGAGAGUCGCCCAGAGAGCGCAGGGCCCGGAGGAGAGCGGAUACUUCCCCGAGUAAGGCCAUGUUGAAUGUGAGAGCCCUGGAGCGCCGAGCACGAACUGGGCCUCAUACAAACCAGACAGGACACACAUUACCAGGAUGGAAUCAUUUCACACCAGCACUGGCAUACUAAAACAUUGCUACUUAAUAAUAUAAAGUCUGUGCUCUGCCAUCUCUUUAAAUCCAUGGAAUCUGGGUAAGGAAACCAGACCAGCCAAAUGUGUUUGUACAUGCUGACUAUGACCGCAUAUACAGGUAACUAAUUUUUCACACCACAUCUAUCCUUUUGUAAAAAUACAACUGUUGCAGUAGUUCCUGUUUCUGAUACAGUGACUUAAUUAUAUUUUAUUUGCCAGUGAAAAGUUUGAUACAUAGUUACUCUACUGGUAUGAAGAGGGAUUAUGAAGACUGGAAAUGGUUGUUUAUGGGGUGGAGGGUUGUUUCAGGUGGGGUGGGUGGGUUUUUUUUUUUGUUUCAUUUUAUCAAUCUCACUGCAGAAGUCACUUUUGUUGCAUUUUAAAAUCUUUCAGGAGAAUCACGUGUUACUGUGUGCAACACAGUGUUUGAUGUCUUCAUGUAGUCCUAUGCUGGACGCUACUGUAUACGCAUUACCUUUAAUUUUUAAUUUUUUUAUUUUUAAUUUAAUUAGUUUGAAUGUGCAUACAGAUACAUAAACUGUCCUAGAUUGUAGUAUUCAGUGGAAAAGCAUGUAAAUCUCCAGAAAUAAGUGGAGACUUCUUUGAUGCAUGAGUUUAUCUGUUUCUGUACAUUUCAAAAAUAUUGCUUGUAACUAAGAAUUUAGCUGAAAAUAUCUGCUAAUACCUGAAGAUCUAAUAUGCAUAAUUAACAAAACCACUUUUUUUUUUUUUUUUUUUUUUUUUUGUUAGUCCACCUUGAAGUAGCGAGUGUAACCAAAGCAAAUUAAAAUACCUGAAAUAAUGGGAAACGUAACUCACACAAUUUCACAAAAUUGUGAAACUUCUCAAACUUGAGGCUUCCACAUAUGCUAGGACUAGGUUAGCUGAAGGAAAAAUAGAAUUUUUUCUCCUGAAGCUUGGCUUAGAUCUAAAGAAAACGUCUCCUGUAAGCAGGUUGCUCCAUAGUUCUCAGUUGCAAAAUUUCUUGCACCUUUUUCUCAAUCAGCUGAUAGUAACCCCUUUAUAGAGAGCACGCUGUAUUAAAUGAAUCUUUAGGCAGUUUCACUAGUUUGUGUGUUUCUUCAGCUGUUUCAAACACGAUGACAAAACUAGCCAGAAUCUGUCAUACCUGGUAUGCUACUGGAACACCUGGUUUUGCAGCCUGCUUCAAGACCUGUUUGUUACAGCGCUGCUAUAGCACACUGGUGGCGAGGCUGUGAAAAAUCAUUGUCUCAAGCCUUUUGUGGAACACAAAGAAAUUGGUUGUGAAAAUUAAAACUGGCUGUCUCAGGAUUACUGUGAAGCUUUUCCAAAUGGGGAAGGGUUACGCCAUGUGUAGUUUUGUAUUUUUACCAACUCCUGAUUAAUAGGGCAUCUGCUUAAACAGAACCAAUGAUUGCAUCCACAUCAAAAGUUGCUUUCUAGCUUUCAGCCUCCAGGCUCUGCUUUCACUCUUACAUGAGUGUGACUGCCAUCAACAGGUAAAAAUGAAGGCUACUGGGAGGCUUUAAAAUAUCUGUGCGAUACAGACUUAUGAAUCUUGAUAACAUAAAUGCCAUUUUAGUUCCGUCAUCUGCAGAGCUCUGUAUAAGAGAGGAGAAGUACUUCCAGGGAGUGAAAGUCCUGGAAUGUUUCUUACAUACCAGUCUGCUCGCUUAUGUGUCACGGUCAGCAGGUCUGUAAAACUGUCUCACAUCUGCAGGAUGUCACAUGGUGGAACUCUGUGGCUCAGAUAGCCACGUAUGUCCUGUUCAGACAUCUGCUGUUCAGAGGCAGUAACCUUCAAUCAAAUGUGCAGCCCAGACAGGUUAUGUUCAUGAACGGCUUCAUGACAUAGCUCAUAUGACAAGUAACCAUGUUUGAAAGCUGUGGAAGCUUCACCUUAAAAUUAGUUUGGUUUUGCCCCAUUGCUAAUCAAUUUAAGGUGAUUUGCCUCUCAAAGCCUUAUUGCAUUGUUUAGAAACAGUGAAAUAUAGUCACUUAAUGAUGCCGUAGGUACUGCAGUACUUUGGGAGGCAUUUGUAUCAGAUUUUUAUCAGUGUGACAGUUAAAAAGGCAACAGCUGCUUUUCUUAGGAUGCAGGAGUAGGAAAUCUUGUUCAAAAGCAAAAAGAUACAAGGACAGGUACUGCAAAGUCCUGAGAAGAGGUAUUCUUGUUCAGCAAGGAGAGCAAGGAUGUAACUUGGUCCCCAAGGUAUUAAUGAGUAAGGGUUUUAUUUGCAAGUGAAAUUGCCAUUGCACCUUGAUUAGAAAUAUGCCACAUUGAUGUUUUAUUGAUUGUUUUGUCAGGAUUUUCUAAUUUCCUAGAAAGGAAUUCAUUUUUGCAUACAAAUAGCAUUCUUACUGCAUUGUUAUAAUGAAAAAAUUACAUAUUGUUAUCUGAGUAAAUAUACUGCAUGAUUCUUAGGAUAACUCAAGAUGCUCAUGGACUCUGAAAGAAUAACUGUCACCAAAUAGUCUAAACUAUGUUUUCUAAAGAACGGGUGAAAAAUCAGCACUUCUCAAAAUGGCAUAGCUCCUCAGAUGGCAUAAAAAUACUGCAGAAGUAAUAAAUAAUUAUAUUUUACCUACUUCUCUAUUUGUGACUUCAGGUGAGUGUUUCUAAUCAACUUACCCAAAAUAAUAACUCAAAAGGACCACCUCAUAUUCCAAAAUCACACCAGCACUAUUUCCUAUUCCAGAAUAUUUUGUCUGCCUUUGAUUGCCAUAGUGUGCAUUCUGUUAAACUUGCAGAGAUUCAGAGAGAUGUUCAUGUGAUUUUGAUCUUGUUUGAAGUUCUCACUCCCUUUAGUCCCCAAAGCAAUCCAGAACCCCUGUUUCUCCUGUCUUUCCACCAAAAUUAAAUGAAGCUUCUACAAUAUUUCAAUUUCAGCUCGGCUUCAGUCCCAAGUCUGUUCAGAGGACAGGGUACUCUCUUUUUAUUAGAAAAAAACCCCAAAACGAUUCAGAACCAUUCCAACUUGCUGUUAUUUGCUAGUUCUUUAACAAGUGAAUGAAAAUCAUGGCUGCUGCUUUCUGAGGAAGGAAUAGCAGAGUAUCAAGAUUGUUCAUUAAACAAAUUAAAUAAAUAAAAGCAUACUGAAUAGAAAUACUCAGUGAGGCCAGGCAGAGCAAGAAGUAGGAGUAACUCAGUCUCCUUAGUUACAUUCUGCAUUCUCACAGUUUCUUUCAGUUUGCCUCUUACUAUGGAACAAAAGAGUUAUUUUAAGCAAAUUCUGAGAACAAAGCAUAAAAUUAGCAAAAAUGUUUUAGUCGGAAGGGAAUAUAAUUGACAAGAUUCUAAGGCAGGGGGAACUAGUUUCGAGAGUCUUCAUGUAAUUUAUGACAGAAAAAGGCAGGAAAAAUCCAUAUACCUGAGUUUCCUAAUUAAUACAGUCUUGGAAGAUGAUACUGAACUUCUUACUUAUGGUAUGGAUUAGAAUGGUUUAUCUGUGACAUGGACUCAAGAAGAGGAAAUUCGGAAUUGUUGAGACACUUUGCAAGUCGCUUCAAAAUCCUUC